rnacentral:rRNA from 1 species
GAAUAUUGCGCAAUGGCCGCAAGGCUGACGCAGCGACGCCGCGUGUGGGAUGAAGGCCUUCGGGUUGUGAACCACUGUCAGGGGGGAAGAAUACUCGGCUUCGAAUAGGAGACCGAGGGUGACGGUACCCCCAGAGGAAGCACCUGCUAACUCCGUGCCAGCCGCCGCGGUAAUACGGAGGGUGCGAGCGUUGUCCGGAAUCACUGGGCGUAAAGCGCACGUAGGCGGCUACGUGAGUCACUUGUGAAAUCCCGGGGCUCAACUCCGGGCCUGCAGGUGAUACUGCGUGGCUAGAGCUCGGUAGAGGCGAGUGGAAUUCCCGGUGUAGCGGUGGAAUGCGUAGAUAUCGGGAAGAACACCAGUGGCGAAGGCGGCUCGCUGGGCCGAGGCUGACGCUGAGGUGCGAAAGCGUGGGGAGCAAACAGG